AAUGGCCUAACGGCCGAACCAGCCAUUUGGUGGAAUGUAAUCGUUUUACGUGCAUAGCUAAAAACUGUGUAUCAACUAUGUUGAAUAAAGUUCUGAAUAGAUAACUGAUAAUGACAAACUUCUAUUCACAUCUCUUGACCAAUGCUUGUGCCAGCAGUCGCGGCAACACAAGUAAGAUUAGUGUUAUUCAUCUUUAUUAGGUUUAAAGCGUACCUAGACGGCAUUUCUAUUUCUUAAACAGGAAAGUUAUUUGCUAGAGUUUUAUGUGAGAGGCAAAUAUUAGGACUAUUAGUGGAGAGAUGAAAUCCUUUGAUACUAAUAGGAUGUGUAAAGGCGAAGGCAACCCUCUAUGUAUAAACUGACGUUGAGAGACGAAGGCUUGGGGAGCAAACAGGAUUAGAUACCCUAGUAGUCCAAGCAGAAAAUUAUGAAUGUUAUAUGUUAGCAAAGUUAUUAAAAGUUAGUGUAUAAAUGAAAGUGUAAGCAUUCCACCUUAAGAGUAAUGUGGCAACGCAGGAACUGAAAUCAUUAGACCGUUUCUGAAACCAGUAGUGAAGUAUGUUAUUUAAUUCGAUGAUCCUCGAAAAACCUUACCACAAUUUGAAUAACGUUUUUAUUGAACAGCUUCAAUAAAAGCAUUACAGGCGUUGCACGGCUGUCUAAAGCUAAUGUCGUGAGAUCUUGGUUAGUUCCAUUAAAUUAGCGUAACCCCCUUACUUUAUUUAUGGUUUUUUUUAUUAAAAAAGGAUAAUAAGGUGUCAAACUGCUACGGCGGUUUCGGUAAUAGGGAAGAAGACAAGUCAUCAUGACCUUAAUAUUGUGGGCUAUAGACGUGCCGCAUAUUUUUGUACAAAGAGAGUCAAAAAUGCGAAUUUUAGGUAAUCUCUAAAGCAGAAUAAAAAAU
rnacentral:rRNA from 1 species